rnacentral:rRNA from 1 species
AUUACGGGGCGCAGCAGGCGCGAAAACUUUACAAUGCUGGCAACAGCGAUAAGGGAACCUCGAGUGCCAGGUUACAAAUCUGGCUGUCGAGAUGCCUAAAAAGCAUUUCAUAGCAAGGGCCGGGCAAGACCGGUGCCAGCCGCCGCGGUAACACCGGCGGCUCGAGUGGUAACCGUUAUUAUUGGGUCUAAAGGGUCUGUAGCCGGCCGGAUAAGUCUCUUGAGAAAUCUGGCAGCUUAACUGUCAGGCUUUCAGGAGAUACUGUCUGGCUCGAGGCCGGGAGAGGUGAGAGGUACUUCAGGGGUAGGGGUGAAAUCUUGUAAUCCUUGAAGGACCACCAGUGGCGAAGGCGUCUCACCAGAACGGACCUGACGGCAAGGGACGAAAGCUAGGGGCACGAACCGGAUUAGAUACCCGGGUAGUCCUAGCCGUAAACGAUACUCGCUAGGUGUCGGCCACGGUGCGACCGUUGUCGGUGCCGUAGGGAAGCCGUGAAGCGAGCCACCUGGGAAGUACGGCCGCAAGGUUGAAACUUAAAGGAAUUGGCGGGGGAGCAC